rfam:Cochliobolus heterostrophus C5 unplaced genomic scaffold COCHEscaffold_5, whole genome shotgun sequence.
UCCGAUAUGGUCUAGUGGCUAGGAUUUGCCGCUCUCAUUGCAGAGUCAGUUCACUGUCUAGUGCCGGCAAGGCCCGGGUUCGAUUCCCGGUGUCGGAA